rnacentral:lncRNA from 1 species
AGUGAGAAUCAGUGGGGGUGGAGUCCGGGACCUCUGUUUUAACAAGUUCUCCAGGUGACCCUUAUGCAUGCUAAAAUUUAGGAACCACACAUCUAGAGUAAGCAUGACACUAACUAAGACAGAAGGCAGCACCAGGAAUCUGGGAAUGUCACCAGGAUUUCAAAUAUCUGACCCAGGAACCAGAGUCUGAAGUUGGCACCAGAGAAACCACAAGGACACAUAGGAGACUGUCAGCAGCUGGGAUAAUUGGAAUGGGACGUGAGAACGCUUUUGGCCAGAUGCCCUCUGGAAAUAACACUCUACCAGUUUGCUCAACUUGGAAAGCUUCAUUCCAUCCUUGAAUUGUGUGAGAAUUUCCCACUCAACAGCUGUUGGCCAACUGAGAGCUAAUUAAUCCUAGAGCAUAAAUAAUAGCUAAUCAUGGAGGUCUCUUCCUCCCAACAAUCGGGGCUCCAGAUGCUGGGCAAGUGUUCGAAAUGGCAGCUCCAAGGAUAAGGCUAAAUUGUGGUAUCUGAAAAUGUCAUCUGGGAAUUGUCUGCCUCAGAACCACAGAAAUGCUAAUUAAAAAUGCAGAUUCUUGGGCCAAAUUUCAAGUUGACAGAUUCAGUCUCCCACAUGACUCUUGUUUUCAUAACAUCUGAGAAUCACUGCAUUGUUUGGCUUUGGGAGAUUUGAGGGGCUGAGAAUUUUGUCUCUAGUUUAAAUUUUUCUAGCCCUGCUUCUAAGAAGAGGUUUCCAUUAGAUUAUAU